GGAAAGUUUGGGUGGACGAACACCUUGUGAACUCGGUCAGGUCCGGAAGGAAGCAGCCAUCACGAGUAUCGUUUGGGUCAUUCAAGCUUUCCCUG
rnacentral:SRP_RNA from 1 species